rnacentral:tRNA from 1 species
CGUGUCACCAGUUCAAAUCUGGUUCUUGGCA